AGUGAACGCUGGCGGUAGGCCUAACACGUGCAAGUCGAACGGCAGCACAGGAGAGCUUGCUCUCUGGGUGGCGAGUGGCGGACGGGUGAGGAAUACAUCGGAAUCUACUUUUUCGUGGGGGAUAACGUAGGGAAACUUACGCUAAUACCGCAUACGACCUACGGGUGAAAGCAGGGGAUCUUCGGACCUUGCGCGAUUGAAUGAGCCGAUGUCGGAUUAGCUAGUUGGCGGGGUAAAGGCCCACCAAGGCGACGAUCCGUAGCUGGUCUGAGAGGAUGAUCAGCCACACUGGAACUGGGACACGGUCCAGACUCCUACGGGAGGCAGCAGUGGGGAAUAUUGGACAAUGGGCGCAAGCCUGAUCCAGCCAUACCGCGUGGGUGAAGAAGGCCUUCGGGUUGUAAAGCCCUUUUGUUGGGAAAGAAAUCCAGCUGGUUAAUACCCGGUUGGGAUGACGGUACCCAAAGAAUAAGCACCGGCUAACUUCGUGCCAGCCGCCGCGGUAA
rnacentral:rRNA from 1 species